rnacentral:rRNA from 1 species
AACGAACGCUGGCGGCAGGCCUAACACAUGCAAGUCGAGCGGACCUUUCGGGGUCAGCGGCGGACGGGUGAGUAACGCGUGGGAAUAUGCCCUUCUCUACGGAAUAGUCCUGGGAAACUGGGGGUAAUACCGUAUACGCCCUUUGGGGGAAAGAUUUAUCGGGGAAGGAUUAGCCCGCGUUGGAUUAGGUAGUUGGUGGGGUAAUGGCCUACCAAGCCGACGAUCCAUAGCUGGUUUGAGAGGAUGAUCAGCCACACUGGGACUGAGACACGGCCCUGACUCCUACGGGAGGCAGCAGUGGGGAAUCUUAGACAAUGGGGGCAACCCUGAUCUAGCCAUGCCGCGUGAGUGAUGAAGGCCUUAGGGUUGUAAAGCUCUUUCAGCUGGGAAGAUAAUGACGGUACCAGCAGAAGAAGCCCCGGCUAACUCCGUG